rnacentral:rRNA from 1 species
CGGGACGGGUGAGUAAUGUCUGGGAAACGUGCCUGAUGGGAGGGGGUAACUACUGGAAACGGUAGCUAAUACCGCAUAACGUCGCAAGACCAAAGAGGGGGACCUUCGGGCCUCUUGCCAUCGGAUGUGCCCAGAUGGGAUUAGCUAGUAGGUGGGGUAACGGCUCACCUAGGCGACGAUCCCUAGCUGGUCUGAGAGGAUGACCAGCCACACUGGAACUGAGACACGGUCCAG